GUCUACAGCCAUACCACCCUGGACAUGCCUGAUCUCAUCUGAUCUUGAAAGCUAAGCAGGGUUGGGCCUGGUUAGUACUUGCAUGGGAGACCACUUGGGACUACAAGGUGCUGUAGCCU
rnacentral:rRNA from 1 species